GAUUUUCGAACUCCAAUGUCCCUCCCCAAGAUUCUUUUAGAAGGGACAUAGAAAACGAGUGGGUUAAACGUCUUAGGCCAUCUGCCUCAGAGUCUGUUCAUGAUACAAAGGGUACAAGAAAGGAAGAGGACUCUUCGUGUGAUAAAGCCAAUCUACUCUUCAGUAAAAUGAAAUGCAGCUCAGCCAGCUCCGACCGCUCUAGGGUUCCAUUCCAUGGACAAGAACAACUGGCAAUUGCUCCAACAACUAUAGUAAAGGAUAAAGACUUAUGC
rnacentral:misc_RNA from 1 species